rnacentral:rRNA from 1 species
AACAAACGCUGGCGGCGUGCCUAAUACAUGCAAGUCGAACGGGGAAAGCUUUCGGGUGAGUACUAGUGGCGCACGGGUGAGGAACGCGUGGAUAAUCUGCCUGAGAGUGGGGGAUAACUAGUCGAAAGAUUAGCUAAUACCGCAUAAGACCACAGGAGCUGCGGCUCAAGGGGUCAAAGGUUUUUCGCUCUAAGAUGAGUCCGCGUAAGAUUAGCUAGUUGGUGAGGUAACGGCUCACCAAGGCGACGAUCUUUAACUGGUCUGAGAGGAUGAUCAGUCACACUGGAACUGAGACACGGUCCAGACUCCUACGGGAGGCAGCAGUAGGGAAUAUUGCACAAUGGAGGAAACUCUGAUGCAGCGACGCCGCGUGAGUGAUGAAGGCCUUCGGGUCGUAAAGCUCUGUCGCAGGGGAAUAACACAAUGAAUGUACCCUGUAAGAAAGGAUCGGCUAACUUCGUGCCAGCAGCCGCCGUAAUAC